rnacentral:rRNA from 1 species
ACGCUGGCGGCAGGCCUAACACAUGCAAGUCGAGCGGUAGAGAGAAGCUUGCUUCUCUUGAGAGCGGCGGACGGGUGAGUAAUGCCUAGGAAUCUGCCUGGUAGUGGGGGAUAACGUUCGGAAACGGACGCUAAUACCGCAUACGUCCUACGGGAGAAAGCAGGGGACCUUCGGGCCUUGCGCUAUCAGAUGAGCCUAGGUCGGAUUAGCUAGUUGGUGAGGUAAUGGCCCACCAAGGCGACGAUCCGUAACUGGUCUGAGAGGAUGAUCAGUCACACUGGAACUGAGACACGGUCCAGACUCCUACGGGAGGCAGCAGUGGGGAAUAUUGGACAAUGGGCGAAAGCCUGAUCCAGCCAUGCCGCGUGUGUGAAGAAGGUCUUCGGAUUGUAAAGCACUUUAAGUUGGGAGGAAGGGCAGUUACCUAAUACGUGAUUGUUUUGACGUUACCGACAGAAUAAGCACCGGCUAACUCUGUGCCAGCAGCCGCGGUAAUACAGAGGGUGCAAGCGUUAAUCGGAAUUACUGGGCGUAAAGCGCGCGUAGGUGGUUUGUUAAGUUGGAUGUGAAAUCCCCGGGCUCAACCUGGGAACUGCAUUCAAAACUGACUGACUAGAGUGUGGUAGAGGGUGGUGGAAUUUCCUGUGUAGCGGUGAAAUGCGUAGAUAUAGGAAGGAACACCAGUGGCGAAGGCGACCACCUGGACCAACACUGACACUGAGGUGCGAAAGCGUGGGGAGCAAAC